AUACGGAGGAUGCGAGCGUUAUCCGGAUUUAUUGGGUUUAAAGGGAGCGUAGGUGGGAUAUUAAGUCAGCUGUGAAAGUUUGGGGCUCAACCUUAAAAUUGCAGUUGAUACUGGUUUCCUUGAGUACAGUAGAGGCAGGCGGCAUUCGGGGGGUGGCGGGUAAAUGCUUAGAUAUCACGAAGAACUCCGAUUGCGAAGGCAGCCUGCUGGACUGUAACUGACGCUGAUGCUCGAAAGUGUGGGUAUCAAACAGGAUUAGAUACCCUGGUAGUCCACACAGUAAACGAUGAAUACUCGCUGUUUGCGAUAUACAGUAAGCGGCCAAGCGAAAGCGUUAAGUAUUCCACCUGGGGAGUACGCCGGCAACGGUGAAACUCAAAGGAAUUGGCGGGG
rnacentral:rRNA from 1 species